UGGAAAGGGGGGGGAGAGUUUGAGGGGAAAUAGGCUCCAUGCACACCCAUCAAUGGCUCAUCGUUCCCUCAAUUGGUUGGAUGCUGCUGACGCUCUUUUCUCUGCUCAACACCACCGGAAAACAUCGAUAUCAAUUGAAUUGUUUAUGGAAACGAGCCGAGGGACCUUCUGCCGUUUCUCUCUUGGUUUCUAACUGACGAGGCACCACGAUGUCAUAUCUUGACUUGUAAUCUGUGUUGAGAUGAAGGAGAAGGAAGAGGAGGCCUCAUA
ensembl:ncRNA K02H8.4 ncRNA